CGGGGUGAGUAACGCGUGGAUAACCUGCCUUGCACUGGGGGAUAACACUUAGAAAUAGGUGCUAAUACCGCAUAAGCGCACAGAGCCGCAUGGCUCAGUGUGAAAAACUCCGGUGGUGUAAGAUGGAUCCGCGUCUGAUUAGCUGGUUGGCGGGGUAGAAGCCCACCAAGGCGACGAUCAGUAGCCGGCCUGAGAGGGUGAACGGCCACAUUGGGACUGAGACACGGCCCAAACUCCUACGGGAGGCAGCAG
rnacentral:rRNA from 1 species